CACAAAUUAUCAUUUUUUAAAUACACACAAAGACUCCAUCUCAAAAAAAUAGGAUAAAGAAUAUAUAUACAAUAUCACUUAUUAAAAGUGCGCCAUCUCAACAAACUAGUGGAAAUGGCCCGUACAGAGCCGGGCCCAGACCUAAUAAAUUAAAAGUAUAUAUUAUUUAAGAUAAGAGAGGUUGCUUUGAUGGUAUGCAAUCCUCACUUUCAACCGAGAGAUUGUGAGUUCGAGUCUUCCCAAGAGCAAGGUGAUGUAGGAAAACAAUUUAAAGGUAGAAGACCUUUAAAUGUAAGAAGGAAAGAGAUUUUGUUUNNN
rnacentral:lncRNA from 1 species